rnacentral:snoRNA from 1 species
AAGCACUGUUUGAGACCUGUUGGCCGUGCUGUGGCUAACGGGUCCCAUUCCAGUGCUACAGCAGCCCCACUGCCACCACACUGACAUGACAGCCUGAUGGUGGCUCUCAGUGUCAGGUCUUGGACACAAGC